AACGAACGCUGGCGGCAGGCUUAACACAUGCAAGUCGAGCGCCCCGCAAGGGGAGCGGCAAACGGGUGAGUAACGCGUGGGAAUUUUCCUUCUAGUCUGGGAUAGCCCUGGGAAACUAGGAUUGAUACCGGAUAUUAUCUACGGAUGAAAGAUUUAUCGCUAGAAGAUAAGCCCGCGUGAGAUUAGCUAGUUGGUGAGGUAAUGGCUCACCAAGGCAACGAUCUCUAGUUGGUCUGAGAGGAUGAUCAACCACACUGGAACUGAGACACGGUCCAGACUCCUACGGGAGGCAGCAGUGAGGAAUAUUGGACAAUGGGGGGAACCCUGAUCCAGCCAUGCCGCGUGAGUGAUGAAGGCCUUCGGGUUGUAAAACUCUUUAAGUAGGGAAAAUAAUGAUUGUACCUACAGAAUAAGCCACGGCAAACUUCGUGCCAGCAGCCGCGGUAACAC
rnacentral:rRNA from 1 species